rnacentral:tRNA from 1 species
GGCUGGAUAACAUAACGGUUGAAUGUGAUGGACUGCAAACCCGUAAAUGGCGGUUCAAAUCCGCCUCCAGCCU